GGGGCUGAAAGGAUUUCUACAUUUUGAUAUUUUAAUUAUGUUGUAUUUGACUAAUUAGAUUUAUUAAUUUUUUAUAUAUCCAAUAUAUUUAUUUUUUUUAAUAUUAAAAAUAUAAAAGUAUUAAUAACUAUAAUUUAAUUGCAAAACAUAAUAUUAUCUCUUUUUCUAAAAAUUUAGUAAUAGUAUAAAUUAUUAGAAUUUUAAAUUGUAUUUUCUUAAUUCAAUUUAUUGAUUUAUUGAAAGAAUGCUCUAAUUGUAAGUUAUAAUUUUAGCUUUUAUUAUUAUUUUCCUUUCAAUUAGUAAAGUAUUAUAUUAUCUUAAUUUAAAAUUUCAGUGAAAAUUUUUUAGUUAAAUAGUAUCAACUUAAUUUUUAUAUCAAUAUGGACGUGGGUUCAAAUCCCACCAGUUCCA
rnacentral:tmRNA from 1 species